UCAAGCAAACGGUGUCUGGGGCUGCAGAAACCUGGAGAGAGAGGAUCCAGGGUAAACAUGACUUCCAAGCUGACCAUUGCUCUUUUGCUUUCUUGGCAGUUUCAUGCUCUCUGUAGCAUCGGGCAAAGGCAGGGACCAGACUCUACUGGGAAAACUGGGAUGAGCUGAUGGUAGGAAUUUUGUCAUCUUUGUGCUAACCUAGACUUAUCAUUGUGGCCUGUGAAGAAGAUGGAGUCUAUAAUCCUCCAUGAGUGGGAAAAAAAGCAUUUGAACAUUACACUUCCACAUCAAAUGGUUUGUAGGAAAAUCUAUAUUUUUAGGUGUAUCAUGUCAUGUUCAUAAGACAGUAUUAAUAAUCUCAAUUCAUCCCAAAGCACUGAGCAAUCAGGAGAGAACUGGAUAAACAUGAUCCAUGAGGAAUAGAGCUGAAUGAAGCCAUAGGGAAGAAGCAUGCUUUGCUUGGGCAGGACUUGCACUGGUGACCUGACCAGCCUACUCUUUGUUUCCUUGCUAUGUCCUUCUCAAAGUAAACUAAGUAGGCAACAUAAACUGUGAUUAAACUGGGUUUUUAACAAUACUCAACUGUCUUUUAGAAUGGGCAGCUGUGUUUAUUUUCAAGUUUUAAAACUUAGGUAUCUAUGUGUGUACAUGUGCAUUUUCCUUUUUUUAAAGGUAAUAAAUGGUUAAAAUUUAUUAAAAUGGUAACUGUGUGUCAGCACUGUCUAUUGCUUUACAUUAUUUCAUUUAAUCUUUGCAACAGUUCUAUUAGUUAAAUAUUAUUAUCCCGUUUUCACAAAUGAGGAAACUGAGGCCCAAAAUAACAAGGCCUGGUAGUGUAUAUGAGAUCAUAAAGCUAGUAAAAAUGAUAAGCUAGACAGCCAAAUGCAGACCUUGAGUUUUUAUGUGUAAUGUUAGACCACUUUCUAUGUUCCUUAGAAUAUUUGAAAAAUAAUUGAAAAUGUCACAUAAUUGCAUUGCUAAGAUAUAGCUACGCCAGAGCCUUUGACUGUGUGGAUCACAAUACACUGUGGAAAGUUCUGAAAGAGGUGGGAAU